rnacentral:rRNA from 1 species
AUUGAACGCUGGCGGCAGGCCUAACACAUGCAAGUCGAGCGAGCGGCGCGCGGGUGAGUAAUGUCUGGGAAACUGCCUGAGGGAGGGGGAUAACUACGGGAAACGGUAGCUAAUACCGCAUACCAUCAGAUGUGCCCAGAUGGGAUUAGCUAGUAGGUGGGGUAAUGGCUCACCUAGGCGACGAUCCCUAGCUGGUCUGAGAGGAUGACCAGCCACACUGUAACUGAGACACGGCCCAGACUCCUACGGGAGGCAGCAGUGGGGAAUAUUGCACAAUGGGCGCAAGCCUGAUGCAGCCAUGCCGCGUGUAUGAAGAAGGCCUUCGGGUUGUAAAGUACUUUCAGUGGGGAGGCGUUACCCGCAGAAGAAGCACCGGCUAACUCCGUGCCAGCCGCCGCGGUAAUAC